GACGAACGCUGGCGGCGUGCUUAACACAUGCAAGUCGAACGGAAAGGCCCUGCUUUUGUGGGGUGCUCGAGUGGCGAGCGGGUGAGUAACACGUGAGUAACCUGCCCUUGACUUUGGGAUAACUUCAGGAGACUGGGGCUAAUACCGGAUAGGAGAUCCUGCUGCAUGGGGGUGGUUGGAAAGUUUCGGCGGUGGUGGAUGGACUCGCGGCUUAUCAGCUUGUUGGGGGGGUAGUGGCUUACGAAGGCUUUGACGGAUAGCCGGCCUGGGAGCGUGAACAGGCACAAUGGGACUGCGAGACGCAGCAGACUGCUACGGGAGGCAGUAGGGGGGAAUCUGACACAAUGGGCGGAAGCCUGAUGCAGAAACGCUGCGUGCGGGAUGACGGCCUUCGGGUUGUAAACCGCUUUCGCCUGUGACGAAGCGUGAGUGACGGUAACGGGUAAAGAAGCACCGGCUAACUACGUG
rnacentral:rRNA from 1 species